GAUACUGUUGUUCUGAGUUCGGCUGAGGUAGGCGGAAUGAGUAAUGUAGCGGUGAAAUGCUUAGAUAUUACUCAGAACACCGAUUGCGUAGGCAGCUUACCAAACCGACACUGACGCUGAGGCACGAAAGCGUGGGGAGCGAACAGGAUUAGAUACCCUGGUAGUCCACGCCGUAAGCGUUGAUUACUCGUUGUUGGCAAUACAUCGUCAGCGACUGAGCGAAAGCAUUAAGUAAUCCACCUGGGGAGUACGUCAGCAAUGAUGAAACUCAAAGGAAUUGACGGGGGCCCGCACAAGCGGAGGAACAUGUGGUUUAAUUCGAUGAUACGCGAGGAACCUUACCUGGGCUUAAAUGUAGAGUGCAUAGAGUGGAAACAUUCUUUUCCUUCGGGACUCUUUACAAGGUGCUGCAUGGUUGUCGUCAGCUCGUGCCGUGAGGUGUCGGGUUAAGUCCCAUAACGAGCGCAACCCUCAUCGCCAGUUGCCAACACAUCAUGGUGGGGACUCUGGUGAAACUGCCGGUGCAAACCGUGAGGAAGGUGAGGAUGACGUCAAAUCAGCACGGCCCUUAUGUCCAGGGCUACACACGUGUUACAAUGGUCGGUACGACGGGCAGCUACACAGCGAUGUGGUGCUAAUCCUAAAAACCGAUCUUAGUUCGGAUCGGAGUCUGCAACUCGACUCCGUGAAG
rnacentral:rRNA from 1 species